ACCGAUAGUGAACCAGUACCGUGAGGGAAAGGCGAAAAGAACCCCGGCGAGGGGAGUGAAAAAGAACCUGAAACCGUGUACGUACAAGCAGUGGGAGCACAGAGCAAUCUGUGUGACUGCGUACCUUUUGUAUAAUGGGUCAGCGACUUAUAUUCUGUAGCAAGGUUAACCGAAUAGGGGAGCCGAAGGGAAACCGAGUCUUAACCGGGCGUUAAGUUGCAGGGUAUAGACCCGAAACCCGGUGAUCUAGCCAUGGGCAGGUUGAAGGUUGGGUAACACUAACUGGAGGACCGAACCGACUAAUGUUGAAAAAUUAGCGGAUGACUUGUGGCUGGGGGUGAAAGGCCAAUCAAACCGGGAGAUAGCUGGUUCUCCCCGAAAGCUAUUUAGGUAGCGCCUCGUGAAUUCAUCUCCGGGGGUAGAGCACUGUUUCGGCAAGGGGGUCAUCCCGACUUACCAACCCGAUGCAAACUGCGAAUACCGGAGAAUGUUAUCACGGGAGACACACGGCGGGUGCUAACGUCCGUCGUGAAGAGGGAAACAACCCAGACCGCCAGCUAAGGUCCCAAAGUCAUGGUUAAGUGGGAAACGAUGUGGGAAGGCCCAGACAGCCAGGAUGUUGGCUUAGAAGCAGCCAUCAUUUAAAGAAAGCGUAAUAGCUCACUGGUCGAGUCGGCCUGCGCGGAAGAUGUAACGGGGCUAAACCAUGCACCGAAGCUGCGGCAGCGACACUGUGUGUUGUUGGGUAGGGGAGCGUUCUGUAAGCCUGUGAAGGUGUGCUGUGAGGCAUGCUGGAGGUAUCAGAAGUGCGAAUGCUGACAUAAGUAACGAUAAAGCGGGUGAAAAGCCCGCUCGCCGGAAGACCAAGGGUUCCUGUCCAACGUUAAUCGGGGCAGGGUGAGUCGACCCCUAAGGCGAGGCCGAAAGGCGUAGUCGAUGGGAAACAGGUUAAUAUUCCUGUACUUGGUGUUACUGCGAAGGGGGGACGGAGAAGGCUAUGUUGGCCGGGCGACGGUUGUCCCGGUUUAAGCGUGUAGGCUGGUUUUCCAGGCAAAUCCGGAAAAUCAAGGCUGAGGCGUGAUGACGAGGCACUACGGUGCUGAAGCAACAAAUGCCCUGCUUCCAGGAAAAGCCUCUAAGCAUCAGGUAACAUCAAAUCGUACCCCAAACCGACACAGGUGGUCAGGUAGAGAAUACCAAGGCGCUUGAGAGAACUCGGGUGAAGGAACUAGGCAAAAUGGUGCCGUAACUUCGGGAGAAGGCACGCUGAUAUGUAGGUGAAGUCCCUCGCGGAUGGAGCUGAAAUCAGUCGAAGAUACCAGCUGGCUGCAACUGUUUAUUAAAAACACAGCACUGUGCAAACACGAAAGUGGACGUAUACGGUGUGACGCCUGCCCGGUGCCGGAAGGUUAAUUGAUGGGGUCAGCGCAAGCGAAGCUCUUGAUCGAAGCCCCGGUAAACGGCGGCCGUAACUAUAACGGUCCUAAGGUAGCGAAAUUCCUUGUCGGGUAAGUUCCGACCUGCACGAAUGGCGUAAUGAUGGCCAGGCUGUCUCCACCCGAGACUCAGUGAAAUUGAACUCGCUGUGAAGAUGCAGUGUACCCGCGGCAAGACGGAAAGACCCCGUGAACCUUUACUAUAGCUUGACACUGAACAUUGAGCCUUGAUGUGUAGGAUAGGUGGGAGGCUUUGAAGUGUGGACGCCAGUCUGCAUGGAGCCGACCUUGAAAUACCACCCUUUAAUGUUUGAUGUUCUAACGUGGACCCGUGAUCCGGGUUGCGGACAGUGUCUGGUGGGUAGUUUGACUGGGGCGGUCUCCUCCUAAAGAGUAACGGAGGAGCACGAAGGUUGGCUAAUCCUGGUCGGACAUCAGGAGGUUAGUGCAAUGGCAUAAGCCAGCUUGACUGCGAGCGUGACGGCGCGAGCAGGUGCGAAAGCAGGUCAUAGUGAUCCGGUGGUUCUGAAUGGAAGGGCCAUCGCUCAACGGAUAAAAGGUACUCCGGGGAUAACAGGCUGAUACCGCCCAAGAGUUCAUAUCGACGGCGGUGUUUGGCACCUCGAUGUCGGCUCAUCACAUCCUGGGGCUGAAGUAGGUCCCAAGGGUAUGGCUGUUCGCCAUUUAAAGUGGUACGCGAGCUGGGUUUAGAACGUCGUGAGACAGUUCGGUCCCUAUCUGCCGUGGGCGCUGGAGAACUGAGGGGGGCUGCUCCUAGUACGAGAGGACCGGAGUGGACGCAUCACUGGUGUUCGGGUUGUCAUGCCAAUGGCACUGCCCGGUAGCUAAAUGCGGAAGAGAUAAGUGCUGAAAGCAUCUAAGCACGAAACUUGCCCCGAGAUGAGUUCUCCCUGACCCUUUAAGGGUCCUGAAGGAACGUUGAAGACGACGACGUUGAUAGGCCGGGUGUGUAAGCGCAGCGAUGCGUUGAGCUAACCGGUACUAAUGAACCGUGAGGCUUAACCUUACAACGCCGAAGGUGUUU
rnacentral:rRNA from 1 species